UUUGUUGUUGUUUUGUUUGCUUUCA
rnacentral:piRNA from 1 species